AUGAAGUUCACCUUAUGGAUAAAUAAAAAUGCAGAGCUGUCUGAAUGGUCACCUGGUGCAGAGAUGGGGGUGGCACACGGGGCAUUUGGCCAUGCAUGCGGCACAGCCAAUGUCACAGAAAUGUCCAAAACCACAAAGACAUGUCCAACAUUGCGAGGUGCACAGGGAAUUCUCUUUUAUGAAUUCAGCAAGGACUUAGGACAAGCUGCCAACCUAGUGGGGCUGGAGAGAUCUAUUCAGGUUAGGGAUGACGUAUUGCUCAUGAGCUACAUGUUGAUUGAGAAUCAGUUUGAGGUAGCUGCUGGGGCUGCUGAUAACUCCUUGAAGACAGAGGGCAUGGCCAAAGAGUCACCACCUAGAACAGGCAGCUGUUCCUUUACUAUUAUAUGGUGCAUUAUAUGCCUGUGCAUGACUGACACUUCUGGUUUCUUUUAUUUUGUCUCUGGUACAUGUUGUCAUUUCCUGAGAACUCUAAUGCUUCAGUCCAACAAGUCUUCAGGGUUUAACAUCGUGUAUCUGGAAAAUGGGACACAUUUAGAAUUACAGCAGACUGACAAAACACCUUUUGACUGAAUGAAAUGGUGACAUGGCUGAGUAGCUUGCCCUGCCCCUCCUCACCUACAAGAGCAAUACAUGUCUUUUGAGGGAAGAAGUUGCCCUAAUUUUGGAGACUAAACAGGACUGCUUAGCCCAUAGACCUAGGUCUGUCAACUACUAUCUACGUGUGCACAUCAGAAUAUGUAAAUAUAUGCUUCCACAAAAUGAGAAAAUGUUGUAUUUUGUGAACUGCAGGAAGAAGAGUACUUUGGCCCAUAUACAGUUCACAGAUCUGAAAGUUCCCCUGAUCUGGAAUAGUCAUGUCUUUCACAAAAUACAGAUAGUAUGUACCUUAACAUGUUUCUGUCUGGUAACACCAUCUUGCUUACAGGUUGCAGUGCUCCUAUGGGAGCCAAGGUGCAAAUAUCCCCCAAAGAAAAAAAAAUAUUCUCUAUCUCUCAAUCCCUGAACAAUAAGCUACUGCCUAGACAGCUGCUAGCAACACUAACACUACUGCUCUGUAUUAAGUGAGGUAGCAUGUGACUUUUUUGUGUGUGUGUGAAUUGCAAUUAAGCAGGUAUGUUCCAAAGAUGAAUUUGAUCAAAACUUAUGCCAGACCCGUUCAGGUCAGUUGGAAGAAAUCACAGAAUCACAGAAUGGUUUGAGUUAGAAGGGACCUUAAUGAUCAUCUAAUUCCAACCCCCCUGCCAUGGGCAGGGCACCUCCCACUAGAUCAGGUUACCCAAAGCCCCAUCCAGCCUGGGCCUGAACACCUCCAGGAAUGGGGCAUUCACAGCUUCUCUGGGCAACCUGUGCCAGGGCCUCACCAGCCUCUGAGUAAAGAAUUUCUGCUGAGUAUCUAAUCUAAGCCUACCCUCUUUUAGUUUAAAGCCGUCACCCCUUGUCCUAUCACUCUACUCCCUGACAAAAAGUCCCUCCCCAGCUUUUCUGUAGGCCCCCUUUAGGUAGUGGAAGGCUGCUACAGGAUUUCCCUGAAGCCUUCUGUUCUCCAGGCUAAACAACCUCAACUCUCUCAGCCUGUCUUCAUAGGAGAGGUGCUCCAGCCCUCUGAUCAACUCCUCUGGACUUGUUAUAAUAGGUCCAUGAACCUGGAAAUUAAUAGGAAAUUAACAUUGUAGCCUGUAAUUCAUCUAACACCCAAUGUUUUCACAGAGGAAUGCCAAUCAAUAUGUCUCAGCAUAAAUCCAAAUAAUGUAGAUAUUUUAAGUCACUUAAUUUUCUGUAUUCUCAGGUAGUUAGGGAGGACUUACAUGCCUUAGAAGCUCUUUGAUUCUAGCCCCAUGUGUGGAAAUGUAAUCUGAAUUUUCUUUGUCAUAGGAUAGAUAUUUCACAACUCUAAUAUUCAAAAAGAAAAGCUCAUGGAAUCAUGAAGUAAUAAAUUAAUUGAAAAAUUUUUAUAUGUACUUACA
rnacentral:lncRNA from 1 species